UGUCCCUGAUGUGGGUUGAAUGGCAUCUGGUUGGUGGUGCCCAUCUCAUAUCAGCAGGGACAAAGCAACCCCUUGUUGAUCCCAGCUUGAGUUUUGGUCUGUGUCCAUGUCUGGUUCAUGCGUUGGACAGACAC